rnacentral:rRNA from 1 species
UACGUAGGGAGCGAGCGUUGUCCGGAUUCAUUGGGCGUAAAGAGCUCGUAGGCGGCUUGGUAAGUCGGAUGUGAAACCUCCAGGCUCAACCUGGAGUCGCCAUCCGAUACUGCCAUGGCUAGAGUCCGGUAGGGGCCCACGGAACUCCUGGUGUAGCGGUGAAAUGCGCAGAUAUCAGGAAGAACACCGGUGGCGAAGGCGGUGGGCUGGGCCGGCACUGACGCUGGAGGAGCGAAAGCGUGGGGAGCGAACAGGA